rnacentral:antisense_RNA from 1 species
AAAUUACCAUACUUAAUGUAUGCCCCAGAUUAUCCAGAGUUCUCCAAAGAAACAGAUCCAGUCGGUGACUAAACAAGUACUCGCUGCUAUAUUAUCCAGGCCAUUUGCUUGAUCAUUUCCUCUGGUUUAAAGCAAGUAUUUGUUCUUUCAAGUAUUUGUUUUGCUUGGGCUCCAAAAGUUAAAGAGGAAACUUUCUAUCACCCCCUAAGUGGAAGCCAAUAUCAUUUGUCACAAGUUUAAAGAUGGAAGAAAGCCUGGAUGACAGCACAUCUGUUGAAAGCAUGGCUUACUGAAUAUUUUAAGCCCAUUGGUGAGAUCUACUGCUUGGAAAAAAAAUAAUUCCUUUCAGAAUAUUGCUGCUAAUUGACAAUACACUUGGUUGCCCAAGAGUUCUGAUGGACAGAUACAAAGAAAUUGAUCUUGUUUUCAUGCCUGCUAACACAAGAUCUGUCUACAGUCCAUGGAUCAAGCAUAAUUUCAACUUCAAGUCUUAUUAUUUAAGAAAUACAUUUGGUAAGACCACAGCUGACAUAGCUUGUGAUUCCUCUGAUGGAUCUGGGCAAAGUCAGUUAAAAUCUUCUGAAAAGGAUUCACAAUUCUAGAUGCCAUUGAGAACAUUUAUGAUUCACAGGAAGAGGUCAAAACAUCAA